AACGCACCUUGCGCUCCUUGGUAUUCCGAGGAGCAUGCCUGUUUGAGUGUCAUGAAACUCUCAACCUCUGACUUUCUUAAUCGUCGGUCAGCGGCUUGGACUUGGGUGCUGCCGGUCUUAAUUGAUCAGCUCGCCUGAAAUGUUUUAGCGAAUCCCUUCUGUAAUCGGUUCCACUCGACGUGAUAAGUAUUUCGUCGAGGACAUCUUUAUUGAUGGCCGAGAUAAAGUUGGUUUAAGAUCUGCUUCUAACUCUUUCUUUUGCCAUCUGGCAGGGAAAACCCCUUUAUGAUCUGGCCUCAAAUCAGGUAGGACUACCCGCUGAACUUAA
rnacentral:misc_RNA from 1 species